CAGUAGCCGCGGUAAUACGUAGGGUGCGAGCGUUAAUCGGAAUUACUGGGCGUAAAGCGAGCGCAGACGGUUAUUUAAGCAGGAUGUGAAAUCCCCGGGCUUAACCUGGGAACUGCGUUCUGAACUGGAUAGCUAGAGUGUGUCAGAGGGGGGUAGAAUUCCACGUGUAGCAGUGAAAUGCGUAGAGAUGUGGAGGAAUACCGAUGGCGAAGGCAGCCCCCUGGGAUAACACUGACGUUCAUGCUCGAAAGCGUGGGUAGCAAACAGGAUUAGAUACCCCCGUAGUCCCUGUCUCUUAUAA
rnacentral:rRNA from 1 species